UACGUAGGGAGCAAGCGUUGUCCGGAAUCAUUGGGCGUAAAGCGCGCGUAGGCGGCCCCGUAAGUCCGCUGUGAAAGUCAAAGGCUCAACCUUUGAAAGCCGGUGGAUACUGUGGGGCUAGAGUCCGGAAGAGGCGAGUGGAAUUCCUGGUGUAGCGGUGGAAUGCGCAGAUAUCGGGAGGAACACCGGUGGCGAAGGCGGGUCUCUGGGCCGAUACUGACGCUGAGGAGCGAAAGCGUGGGGAGCGAACAGG
rnacentral:rRNA from 1 species